GACGAACGCUGGCGGCAUGCUUAACACAUGCACGUCGAGCGGAUCGGCGAACGGGUGAGUAACGCGUGAGUAACUGCCCCCCUCUCUGGGAUAACAGUUGGAACCGGCUGCUAAUACCGGAUAGUGGGGGAUGACUCGCGUCCUAUAAGCUUGUUGGUGGGGUGGUGGCCUAACAAGGCGACGACGGGUAGCCGGCCUGAGAGGGCGACCGGCCACAUUGGGUAGGGAUGCGGCCCAAACUCCUACGGGAGGCAGCAGGGGGGAAUAUUGCACAAGGGGGGAAGCCCUGAUGCAGCAACGCCGCGUGCGGGAGGACGGCCUUCGGGUUGUAAACCGCUUUCAGCCAUGACGCGGUAGUGGCAGAAGAAGCACCGGCUAACUACGUGCCAGCAGCCGCGGUAAUAC
rnacentral:rRNA from 1 species